rnacentral:rRNA from 1 species
CGGGAGGCAGCAGUGGGGAAUAUUGCACAAUGGGGGAAACCCUGAUGCAGCAACGCCGCGUGGAGGAUGACACAUUUCGGUGCGUAAACUCCUUUUAUAUGGGAAGAUAAUGACGGUACCAUAUGAAUAAGCACCGGCUAA